GUCUACAGCUAUACAACCUGAAUGCCUCCAAUCUCAUCUGGUCUUGGAAGCUAAGCGAGGUCAAGCCUGGUUAGUUCUUAGACGGGAGACUGCCUGGGAAUACCAGGUGCUAUCGGCU
rnacentral:rRNA from 1 species